CCUACGGGCGGCAGCAGUGGGGAAUAUUGGACAAUGGGGGGAACCCUGAUCCAGCCAUGCCGCGUGUGUGAAGAAGGCCCUCGGGUUGUAAAGCACUUUCAGUGAGGAAGAACGCCUGGUGGUUAAUACCCAUCAGGAAAGACAUCACUCACAGAAGAAGCACCGGCUAACUCCGUGCCAGCAGCCGCGGUAAUACGGAGGGUGCGAGCGUUAAUCGGAAUUACUGGGCGUAAAGCGCGCGUAGGUGGCUUGAUAAGCCGGUUGUGAAAGCCCCGGGCUCAACCUGGGAACGGCAUCCGGAACUGUCAAGCUAGAGUGCAGGAGAGGAAGGUAGAAUUCCCGGUGUAGCGGUGAAAUGCGUAGAGAUCGGGAGGAAUACCAGUGGCGAAGGCGGCCUUCUGGACUGACACUGACACUGAGGUGCGAAAGCGUGGGUAGCAAACAGGAUUAGAUACCCCUGUAUC
rnacentral:rRNA from 1 species